rnacentral:rRNA from 1 species
UACGAAGGGGGCUAGCGUUGCUCGGAAUUACUGGGCGUAAAGGGAGCGUAGGCGGGUUAUCAAGUUGGGGGUGAAAUCCCGGGGCUCAACCUCGGAAUUGCCUUCAAAACUGAUAGCCUAGAGUAUGAUAGAGGUAUGUGGAAUUCCGAGUGUAGAGGUGAAAUUCGUAGAUAUUCGGAGGAACACCAGUGGCGAAGGCGACAUACUGGGUCAUGACUGACGCUGAGGCUCGAAAGCGUGGGGAGCAAACAGG